rnacentral:rRNA from 1 species
CCUACGGGUGGCAGCAGUAGGGAAUAUUGCUCAAUGGGCGAAAGCCUGAACCAGCCAAGCCGCGUGGAGGAUGAAGGUUCUAGGAUUGUAAACUCCUUUUGUUCGGGGAGAUAAUGACGGUAUCUAACGAAUAAGCACCGGCUAACUCCGUGCCAGCAGCCGCGGUAAUACGGCGGGUGCCAGCGUUACUCGGAAUCACUGGGCGUAAAGAGCGCGUAGGCGGGAUAGCAAGUCAGAUGGUAAAUCCUAGGGCUGAACCAUAGAAGUGCAUUUGAAACUGUUAUUCUAGAGUAUGGGAGAGGUAGGUGGAAUGCGUGGUGUAGGGGUAAAAUGCGUAGAGAUCAAGAGGAAGACUGAUUGCGAAGGCGACCUGCUAGAACAUAACUGACGCUGAUGCGCGAAAGCGUGGGUGUCAAACAGGAUUAGAUACCCUGGUAGUC